rnacentral:rRNA from 1 species
AUUGAACGCUGGCGGCAUGCUUUACACAUGCAAGUCGAACGAGUGGCGAACGGGUGAGUAAUAUAUCGCAACGUACCGAGUAAUGGGGGAUAACCAAUCGAAAGAUUGGCUAAUACCGCAUAAUAUUCGAGCGGCCGCUAGCUUAUUAGCUCGUUGGGGGGGUAAAGGCCUACCAAGGCGACGACCAGAAGCUGGUCUGAGAGGACGAUCCGCCACACUGGGACGGAGACACGGUCCAGACUCCUACGGGAGUCAGCAGUGGUGAAUUUUGGGCAAUGGGCGCAAGCCUGAUCCAGCCAUGCCGCGUGUGUGAAGAAGGCCUUCGGGUUGUAAAGUACUUUUUGUAGGGAAGCGGUACCCAAAGAAUAAGCACCGGCUAGCUACGUGCCAGCAGCCGCGGUAAUAC